rnacentral:rRNA from 1 species
UUAUUCUUCCAAGAAAAGCUUGAAUCAUUUAUACAUAAGAAAAUCUGUACCCGAAACUGGCACAAGUAGGUAGGUAUAUUAUACUAAGGGGCUCGAGAGACUUCUCUCUAAGGAACUCGGCAAAAUGACUCCGUAACUUUGGGAUAAGGAGUGCCUCUUUUCAAGAAGAGGUUGCAGUGAAUAGGCCCAGGCGACUGUUUACCAAAAACACAG